GACGAACGCUGGCGGCGUGCCUAACACAUGCAAGUCGAACGGGGUGAUUCGCUUCGGUGGAUCACUUAGUGGCGAACGGGUGAGUAACGCGUGAGGAACCUGCCUUUCAGUGGGGGACAACAGUUGGAAACGACUGCUAAUACCGCAUAAUGCAGCGAGACCGCAUGGUCUUACUGCCAAAGCUUUANGUGCUGAAAGAUGGCCUCGCGUCUGAUUAGCUAGUUGGUGGGGUAACGGCUCACCAAGGCGACGAUCAGUAGCCGGUCUGAGAGGUUGAUCGGCCACAUUGGGACUGAGACACGGCCCAGACUCCUACGGGAGGCAGCAGUCGGGAAUAUUGCACAAUGGGGAAACCCUGAUGCAGCGACGCCGCGUAAAGGAAGAAGGUCUUCGGAUUGUAAACUUUGUCGACAGGGAAGAAAAAAUGACAGUACCUGUGGAGGAAGCCCCGGCUAACUACGUAG
rnacentral:rRNA from 1 species